rfam:Pedobacter sp. Leaf194 contig_1, whole genome shotgun sequence.
AAAUAGCCCCGACAUAAACGGAAAUCCUUUUGGUUGCUGGUACUUUCAUAAUACUGCAAACUAUCGCCAAAAGAUUGCAGUAUUGGCGGGACAGAAC